AGCUGAGAUUGCACCAUUGCACUUCAGCCUGAGCAACAAGAGUGAAACUCCAUCUGUCUCAAAAAAAAAAAAAAAAAAAAAAGGCCCAAGAAAGACCCCUUACCCUUUGCACCAAGGGUGCAAAAAGAUGGCUAUUCCUGAACCAGUAUUUGAACCUUCACACCAGACACUGAAUUUGCCAGCUUCCCAGCCUCCACUGUGAGAAAUACAUUUUUGUUGUUUAUAAGCUACCUAGUUUUUGUUAUUAUAGCAGUCAGAUCAGACUAAGGCACACCCUAAAGAAACAAACACAGAGAGGGACAGAGAUCUCACACAGAGACAAAUUCACAUGGGUCUCUGUUCAAGAUCCUGCCUGAGUCCUUCUACAAAAGUAAGGAAGCUUCUGUGAAGCAAACAUUUCCC
rnacentral:lncRNA from 1 species